GCUUGUCUCAAAGAUUAAGCCAUGCAUGUCUCAGUAUAAGCUUUUACACGGCGAAACUGCGAAUGGCUCAUUAAAACAGUUAUCGUUUCUUUGGUGGUUAUUGAUUACAUGGAUAACCGUGGUAAUUCUAGAGCUAAUACAUGCUAUCAAGCCCGACUUCUUGAAGGGUUGUAUUUAUUAGACUUAAGCCAAUAUUCCUUGUGUCUAUUGCGAUGAUUCAUAAUAACUGAUCGAAUCUCAAAUUUGAGAUAAAUCAUUCAAGUUUCUGCCCUAUCAGCUUUCGAUGGUAGUGUAUUGGACUACCAUGGCAGUAACGGGUAACGAAGAAUUAGGGUUCGAUUUCGGAGAGGGAGCAUGAGAAACGGCUACCACAUCUAAGGAAGGCAGCAGG
rnacentral:rRNA from 1 species